UGGUCUAGUUGGUUAUGACGAUCGCCUCACACGCGAUAGGUCCCGAGUUCGAUUCUCGG
rnacentral:tRNA from 1 species